rnacentral:rRNA from 1 species
UCCGGUUGAUCCUGCCGGAGGUCACUGCUAUUGGGAUUCGACUAAGCCAUGCGAGUCGUGAGGGUUCGGCCCUCGGCGAACGGCUCAGUAACACGUAGAUAAUUUGCCCUUAGGUGGAGGAUACCCUCGGGAAACUGAGAAUAAUACUCCAUAGAUCUAGACUGCUGGAAUGCUUUUAGAUUGAAAGAUUUAUCGCCUAAGGAUAAGUCUGCGGACUAUCAGGUAGUAGUUAGGGUAAAUACCUGACUAGCCUACGACGGAUACGGGUAGUGAGAGCUUUAGCCCGGAGAUGAUAUCUGAGACACGAUAUCAGGCCAUACGGGGCGCAGCAGGCGCGAAAACUUCGCACUGUGCGAAAGCACGACGAGGGAAUCCCAAGUGCUGGCUCGUUAGAGUCAGCUGUUUCUCUGUCUAAAAAACAGAGAGAGUAAGGGCUGGGUAAGACGGGUGCCAGCCGCCGCGGUAAUACCUGCAGCCCGAGUAGUGACUGUUAUUAUUGGGCCUAAAACGUCCGUAGCCGGUCUUGUAAAUGCCUGGGUAAAUUGUACGGCUUAACCGUACGAAUUCCGGGUAGACUGCAGGACUUGAGACCGGGAGAGGCUAGAGGUACUCCUGGGGUAGAGGUGAAAUUCUGUAAUCCUAGGGGGACCACCAGUGGCGAAGGCGUCUAGCUAGAACGGGUCUGACGGUCAGGGACGAAGCCCUGGGGCGCAAACGGGAUUAGAUACCCCGGUAGUCCAGGGUGUAAACGCUGCUCGCUUGAUGUUAGUCGGGCUCCGAGCCCAACUAGUGUCGGAGAGAAGUUGUUAAGCGAGCUGCCUGGGGAGUACGGUCGCAAGACUGAAACUUAAAGGAAUUGGCGGGAAGGGCGAAUUCG